UGUUAUUCCCUCUCACCUUUUCUCCUGGCUGCCCGUUAUGUCUCUUGUGCCCUCCUUCCUCCAGCACAGCACUCCACCAUCUCUGUGCAUCUGGAGCAGAGAGAAUACAUAUGCACCAGCAGUAGCCACAUUUUUCUACACUCUGGAUCCUAGUGCCCUCCUCCCCACAAUCUGGCACCUGAGGCGGCUGCCUCAGUUUGCCUCAUUGUAAGGCCAGCCCUGGUCAGAUUCCAUGAGGGCAAGCAGUCAGGGCAGCUGGCAGAAGGCCAGGUGCCUGGUGUGUGCUGGGAGAAGCUGAGCCCAGGAGCAGGAAGCAGGCUGUUAUCCCUAACUCUGAAGCAUUUUGCAGCGGCUGUUCGUCCUUCUGGCCUUCUCAAGUGCCAACCGUAACCAGGCUAUGAGUCCGGGGGAGAGAAGGAACCAAAUAAGCAGAAGGUGAUGGAAAAGGGGAAAAAAGAAGACAACAGCACUGAAAAUUCAGAAAGGGAGGAGGACAGAAUAUGGGGAGGCGGGAGAAAGAGUUAAAGAAAGGAGUUGCGUCUGGGGGAUCAAGGCAGAAAAUAUAGUAAAUGGUCUGAAGCUAAAAGGUUCUCCCCAACUUUCAACUGUCCAAAACCUCCCUGACUCAGCCCCAUGCCCAGAUGUGAAAACCUGUCUCAGUUUUUAACUUUGAAAAUCCACUGUCAUCUAAUCCCUGUCUCUGGACUUUUAACACGCUCAUCAACACAAUAUCUGAGUCCAACGGGCUCAGUUACCGGAGAGAUAGCGCCUCUCUCAUGCUGGGAGUAGACAGAUUACAUGUCUGGGGUGGGAGGAUGUUUACAGGGGCAGAGCUUAUCCUCUGCAAGGCUGCUGAAGCAGGAAGUUGGGAGGGCAGUGAAGUGAUGGGAAGGGUUUAGAGAAACAUGUUGAGGUGGAACUAGAAACGGCAAAACAUAAAAAUGAGGUAACUUUGAAGUUAUAUAGGAGAGAGAGAGAUCACAAAACAAGGAGUGACUGGGGACCCAUUGUGCUGAAAGCUUUUCCUGUUCAAAUGUUCUAAAUGAUUUUGGGCCAGAUGGGCCCUUUGUUCUUAUUGUGUGAUGAGCUCAUGUCCUUCCAUUAUUAUUAUUUUACAGUGUAAAUAAUUAAAGCCAGCAACUUGGAAAUGCAAUAGUUGAGCAAGUUAAGAGACACAUGAACACACAAAAUGGGACAAGAAAUCUGAGCCAUUUAAGGAAGCUAAAAUAUCAUACCUCCUAAAAAAGAUUUUUUAAAUGGAGAGUUCCUGCCCAAUGAAUUGCAAAGGUUCAAAGAUGUCAGGGCUAUCUAUUCCUUGGCAUAUUUAAAUGUGGACUAAUAGGGAUAUAAGGAGUAGGAAUGGGCAAUCAGAGCCUGACUAGAUGGGACACUUACUCAGAAUAUACCACACCUGGCUGGAAAGUUGGGUGAUGAGAGAAAGGCAUCAGGGCCAUUCCAGAGCUCAGCAGUCAGAUGGAAUUCUAAAGUAGAAGGGGGCUUUCCCUAGGAAGCGCUUCAGUCUUUUGUCCUGAUGAAUAUUCUGGAAAAGGAUUUGACUUAAAAUAAAAACCCUUCACAAGACAAGCAAGAGGGACAGUGAGGUGGCACAAGCAGCAUCUCGCACACCACCAGGACACAGCCUGAAGGAUGAAGAAUCUUAGCCCUUCUAUGCCACCUAGUGUAGGAAGCAAAGUAGUUCCCCUGUUUGUAAUACUGAGAGUUAGACUUUGGCAGUCAAUGGGAGUUAAGGGCACUCAGUGCCUCAGAACCAGGCUCUGUGUGCUGGGAUGGAUUGGGUAGGCAGUAAACUAGAAAUCUGAAUUGCACCCUUCCAUGGACUAAUUAAUCUAUUCACUUCAGUUACCUCAAGCAUCUCAGCAAUGGGUGCCAUUUAUUGCUGGUAAUGUUGGGAAUUGUAAUCGGCUGAGGUUUUUAAAGGGGGCUGCUUUCUAGUUUCUUUUGCUGGAAUCUGAAUGCUGUGGUGCUCAUUUUUCAUUAUUUUAGGUAAGGUCAUUUUUUUUUAAAGAAAAGAUCAAAGAUGUAGUAGACAGCACUUCAGUCACAGAUAUGAAUGUAGUGUCAUGAGAUGUCUGCAUUGUGCUGCUUUGUAUUAAGAGGUAGUUUGAAAGCUAUCAGGUCAGGGAUUAAAGCUGCUGUGUAGUUACAAAGACAUAGCAUGUAUUUGUGACAGGAGGUGGAGAAAAAUACUAUUUCUUCAGCUAGUCUGAAGAAAUCCCAGGGAAAAAAAUAAGCUCUGACUCUGUCAGCAUUAUUUGGACAAAAGGCACUGCAGGAAUAGUCCAGAAAUGUGGUAUUUAGUUUCUAACUGCCAAACAUACAUAUGCUUCAGUUAAGUGGUUAGGAAUAACUUUCCCUAUGGGCAGGUUUAUUCCUUUACUGCCUACUUCAGGGCUUCUUGCAUUUGAAGAGUCUGCUGCUGGGUAUUGUUGGAGUUAGGAGAAUAAACUAGUGUGCAUCACUGGCUUGGUUCAGUUUGGCAAUUCUUGUGUUACUGCUUGAAGACACUAUACCAGUGGAAGAUGGUAUGUUUUGAACUCAUUCAUUAACAACUGCUUCAUAUGAUGCUAUAGUAUUCCAGAUGUCACCAGUUUCAGCAUAAUUAGGUAUAUAUGUGAGUACUUCCAUAGUAUCUGCAGGUGUUUAAGAACCCUUAUGUUUGAUGGUUCCUGCACUUUGUCAGACAUUUUACACAUAAAGUGUGAAUUAUGCUUAGGUGUACCCUUGCAGUGCAGAGUUCCAGGAAUCCUCAUAGUUGACAUAGUAUAUUAGCAUAUUUUCAGUACACUAUUGCUAUCCCAAUAGUAAAACUCAUGCACAGAACCCAAGUACUGUACUGGAAAUCUAUCUCAAGAGCAGAACUCAUGUAGUAGGUUCUAAUUCUUGUUGGCUAGGUCAAAAAGUCAAUAUCUCUGAUUUUUCACCCCCCUCCCCGUUUUCUAACCUUGUUGCUACACCUUUUUCCCUCUAAUAAUCUUCUGUUUAAAAUGCCCAACUGCUACCAAUAAGUAGUGCUGCAAGCACAUGCAUCUGAACAGAAAAUUCCACAUUUUAUGUAGUCAUGUCUAAUUUAAAACAGAAAAAUUUGUUUCUCCUACACCCACUCCUACACCCCCUCAUCAGACCCACACAGCCUUUUGUAUGUGCUUCCGUGUUGCCACAAGUGUAUCAUGUAGCACAUGUAGAAUUUAUAUAGUGUACAGACAAGGAUAUUCCGAGGAGCUCAAUUGCAUGAAAAAGGUUGGCAUGUGUGAUGGCAAAACAAUGAAACAUAGACUGUAAAGUUAAUAAGGACUAUAUGUCUUGGCAGUAUAGCAUAAAAGAUACCAUAUCAGAGGAGGAGGCAGAAUUACAUCAUAUGCUUUCUGUUUAUCCCAUGUAAAAAAGAUAAUAUUUCUACUCUUUCCAAUGCAAUAUAAUGUGUGUGUCUGGUUGUAUUAUUAAAAUGAUUAAAAUAUCUUUUCAUAGGGGAAAAAACGGUGUAAGCUGGUCAUUUUGAGCAAGUAGCCAAAUAUUUGGUUUCCUAUUUUUUUGUUUGUUUUUUUUCUUUCCUAGAGCUUGGAAAUCCCAUAUAUCUAUAGUUAAUAGAGGCACUGAAGAUGAUUGAUGGUUAACUAUUUCAACUUUUUUCUAACCUAAUUAUUGAUCCCACAAUGUUUA